rnacentral:tRNA from 1 species
AAAUAAGAAAUGAUAUUAAUCAUAUGUGAUUUCGGCUCAUACCUAGAUGUAUAUACAUCCUUGUUUA